UGAAUACGAGAUGCUACGGCGUCGAAGCAGUCUAUGUCAUACUUCCAAGAAAAGCUUGCACUGUCAUAAACAAAUAAUGCCUGUACCAUAACCGACACAGGUGGGUAGGUAGAGUAUACUAAGGGGCGCGAGAUAACUCUCUCUAAGGAACUCGGCAAAAUGACUCCGUAACUUCGGGAGAAGGAGUGCCUUAUUUAUAAGGUUGCAAUAACAAGAUCCAAGCAACUGUUUACCAAAAACACAGGUCUCCGCUAAGUCGUAAGACGAUGUAUGGGGGCUGACGCCUGCCCCAGUGCCAGAAGGUUAAAGAAGUUGGUUAGCAUCCGCGAAGCUGAUAACUGAAGCCCUGGUGAACGGCGGCCGUAACAAUAACGGUCCUAAGGUAGCGAAAUUCCUUGUCGGGUAAGUUCCGACCCGCACGAAAGGCGUAAUGAUUUGGAUACUGUCUCGGAGAGGGGCUCGGUGAAAUAGACUUGUCUGUGAAGAUGCGGACUACCUGCACCAGGACAGAAAGACCCUAUGAAGCUUUACUGUAACCUGAAAUUGAAAUUGGACUUUACUUGCGCAGUAUAGGUGGGAGGCGUUGAGAAUAUUCUUGCGGGAUUAUUGGAGCCAUCAGUGAGAUACCACUCUUGUAAUGUUAGAUUUCUAACUUUGUAUCAUUAUCUGGUCAAAGAAUAGUUUCAGGCGGGCAGUUUGACUGGGGCGGUCGCCUCCUAAACGGUAACGGAGGCGCACAAAGGUUUCCUCUGAACGGGUAGAAAUCGUAUCUAGAGUGUAAAGGCAUAAGGAAGCUUGACUGUGAGACCUACAAGUCGAGCAGGGACGAAAGUCGGUCUUAGUGAUCUGACGGUGCUGAGUGGAAAGGCCGUCACUCAACGGAUAAAAGUUACUCUAAGGAUAACAGGCUGAUCUCCCCCAAGAGUUCACAUCGACGGGGAGGUUUGGCACCUCGAUGUCGGCUCAUCGCAUCCUGGGGCGGUAGUACGUCCCAAGGGUUGGGCUGUUCGCCCAUGAAAGCGGUACGCGAGCUGGGUUCAGAACGUCGUGAGACAGUCGGUCCAUAUCCGGUGUAGGCGUUAGAAUAUUGAGAGGAGCCUUCUUUAGUACGAGAGGACCGAGAAGGACAUACCUCUGGUGUACCAGUUAUCGUGCCAACGGUAAACGCUGGGUAGCUAUGUGUGGAGUGGAUAACCGCAGAAAGCAUCUAAGUGGGAAGCCCACCUCAAGAUAAGUAUUUUC
rnacentral:rRNA from 1 species